rnacentral:misc_RNA from 1 species
GAAAUAUUAUACGAGAAAUCCCAACUUCACCAGAACCUGUCAAUUGAAUAAAAAACAUGCAUAUGAUGUUCCAGCUAAAAGUAGAUGGUAAGCAUUAAUAGUGAAUUGGAUGUUUUUCCACACCACUGAGACAUGUAUCCUGAAUAUUUGGACGUCCCAAAUGGAAAAGGAAAUUAGCCGGUACCAGUUAAUGCAAUAAUUUAGUAUGAAGCCAUACAGUGUUCUGUAAAGCUUAUGUUAUUCUCAGGAGAAAAGAAAACAAGAAAAGAUUAACAAACUCAUACAGCGUUCUCCAAAAUAAUACUAACUUGAACCAGAUGAAUAAUCUUAACCACAUAAGGUCGUAUUACAGUAUUUGGAUCAUGUUAGGAAAAAGGAAGAAGAGAUAGCAAAAACAAUUCUUUUCAAAUUUGGUAUCAAAUCAGGUUAGCCCAGCAUUGUUGAGUAAUGGUAUGAAUAGCUUAACAUCAAGUGUGGCCUAUAACUAGGUAAGUUUCACCAUUGAGAAAGAAAAUAAUCAUCUCCCUAGAAAAUGCUUGAAAUUGGAUCAAUAAUCUCAACAACUAGAUAUCAUGUAACUUUUAAGUGAAUCAGUAGGCUCAAGCUUGAACCAUGGGCUCCGCAAUGGACCUCUUGCCAAAUAUACAAGAUUUGAACCAGAUAAUACCAAGCUCCAAAAAUGCAGUCACUCUCUCUCUUCCAAAAGUAUAUCCACAAACAGAGCCAUCACCAAUAGACAUUGCAUGUCAUGUUUGGCAGUUGAAACAUACUUGACCCGAUUCUAUUCCCUUCCCCUUCCCAACCCAACAACCCCAAAUCCAUGAAUUGAUGGUGAUCAAAAGGGAGGCCACUCCAAGAACAUAGAAACCCAAGUGUUCGAGUUAAUAUGCACUGCAAUCCACUAAGCACAGAUAAUGACAUCUAAUUUGGAUAUCAUUUGGGCUUGAGGUAUAAAUUUUCAGCUAUUAUUAUUACCCUCAGUCAAGUGAUCGCAGUUGCACUCCCAAUUUUACCGAGAUAGUUUGCACUGGCAAAGUUCAGAGGAUUCAAUUUUCAUAAUCAAUCAGCAUUUCUUCAAAACUGAAAAUGCUCCAACUUUCAUACUCGUAGCAGCAAACACAAUCAACAAAAUAAAAAAUAAUCAGAGCAAUUCAAACAAUAGACUAAAUCAAGGAAAACCCAACACCUCACCAGCAUCAAUAACAGCAUCCCAAU